AAAGAAACCCAAGCCAGGUUCAGUGGCUUGCGCCUGUAAUCCCCGCCCCUCAGAAGGCCAGGGCAUACCAAAGUUAUUGAAAUAAGAAAUCAAGAAAGAGAGAAAAAAAAAAGAAAGAAAAACAAGUAAAAAGGAGGCUGAAGCAGGAGGAUUGCUCAAGGCCAGGAGUUUGAGACCAGCCUGAGCAACAUAGCGAGACCCUGUCUCGAAGAAAAAUAAUUUUAAAAUUGGCCAGGUUUAAAACAGGCACGAGCCACUGCACCCAAGCUCUGCUCCCAAUUCUUGACCUCUUACAUCAGAUUUGGCACAAAACUGUCCCAUGCCCCACAUAUUAAAUGAUCCUAUUUAUAUGAACUGCCCAGGCAAAUCCAAUAAGACACAAAGUGGAGUAGUGGUUGCCAGGUGCUAGGGGAAUUGAGGGGUGAUGGCUGAAGGAUAAGGUUUCUUUUUGGGGUGAUAAAAAUAUUCUAAAAUGGGUUGUGAUGAUAGUUACCCAACUCUGUGAAUAUAACAAAAACCACUGAAUUGUAAUACCAUAAAUGGGUGAAUUGUAUGUAUCCCAAAAAAGCUGUUACCACCAUCCCCCAGGUUCUCCAAAAUGAAACAUCCUUCCCAUAGCGGGCAUCAGACACAGAAUAAACCCGAGCAGGCCCUGUGUGAUCGGACUUCCCCUCCCAUCCCCAGUCCCACUCUGAACCAUCUCGAACCCCCUUCUGCUUACUCUGUUCCAGCCACACUGGCCUUCUUGCAAGUUCUGCCUCAGGGCCUUUGCACUUGCUGUUCCAUCGGCUAGAAUCCUCUCUCUGGUUAACUCGGCUAGCAGAGUGUGAUUUUGACCUUAACAAAACCAAUCUCCCCUCCCCUCCCCUCCCCUCUCCUUUCCUUUCCUUUCUUCUUUUGAGACAGGUUUCACCAUGUUGGACAGACUGGUCUUGAACACCUGGGCUCAAGUGAUCCGUCCACCUCGUUCUCCCAAAGUGUUGGGAUUACAGGUGUGAACCAUCAUGCUCGGCCCAAAUUCUUUUCUUUUCUUUUUUUUUUUUUUUUUGGGACAAAAAGAGUCUCACUCUGUCGCCCAGACUGGAGUACAGUGGCACUAUCUCGGCUCACUGCAACCCAGCCUCCUGGGUUCAAGUGAUUCUCAUGCCUCAGCCUCCUGAGUAGCUGGGAUUAUCGGUGCCCAACACCACACUUGGCUAAUUUUUGUACUUUUAGUAGAGAUGGGGUUUUGUCACGUUGGCUAGGCUGGUCUUGAACUCCUGAUCUCAAGUGAUCUGCCACCUUGGCCUCCUAAAAUGCUGGGAUUAUAGAUGUGAGCCACUGCGCCCAGCCCCCAGUUCUUACAUAGACACCAUAUAAGUGGCAGGCAGAAUAAUAGCACGCCCUAAAUGUCCACAUCCUCAUCUCCGGAACCUGUAGAUGUGUUGUCUUACACAGUAAAAGGGACUUUACAGUUGUGAUUACAGUCCGGGUCUUGAUAUGGGGAGAUGAUCCUAGAUUAUCCAGGUGGGACGAAUGUAACCACAGGUGUCCUUAUCAGUAAAAGCAAGCGGCAGGAAAAUCAGUCAGAGCCAGAGAGAGAGAGACUGGAAGAUGCUCCGCAGCUGGCUUGAAGGAUGAAGGAUAGGGUUACAUGCCAAGAACAGGAGGCAACUUCUAGAGGCUGGAAAAGGCAGGGAAGGAUUCUCUCCUAGAUGGUCCAGACAGCUCUGCUGACAACUUGAUUUUAGCCCACUGAAACCCAUUUCAGAUUUCAUUGAGAAUAAAAUUGUGUUGUUUUAAGCCGCUAAGUUUGUGAUAAUUUGUUACAGCAGCAAUAAAAAACUA
rnacentral:lncRNA from 10 species